UGUUGCUUCUGUGGAUAUGGUAUCUCAGCCAUUCAUCUAUUCUUGUUAUUUGGAAUUCAGAGUUCUGGAUGUUCAGUACCGGGGCCUUCCAGACUUCUCACGUCCAAUUACAGAGCAAAAGUAGGUGUUACGGGGUCUCCACAUGCACUCGGCAGAUUGGGCAUAGAGGGUCAGGUACCAUUUUCCUUUUGUAUAGAUUCUCCUUAGUCGGGAGAGCAUUUUGACAAACAGACCAGAUGAAGUGUCUGAUUUUGUGGGGGGUUUUUAAUUUCCAGAUUCUGUUCCAAAGUUGAGUUGGGGGUUGAUGAGAGGAAGAGGCGGUUUGAGCUUCUGUUGUUUCUUUUGUGCGUAGGGUGUUGUAUCCGCUCUUUACCGUGUACUCUCCUUCCCGCGUACCUGACCAGAUCAGUUUAUCUUCAUUAGUCUGUGGUCUAAUUGGUAUGGUAAGGAUCUCGCGCACCCCCUGUUCUUGACAUAGUCUUCGCAGGGUCUGUUCUUUCCAGGUGUUUGCCUCUUGAUCCACCAGUUCAUACACCAUAGUUGGGUCUCCUUCAUUAGCCUGUCCCCCUAAAAUUCCUCUUUUGAGCCAUUUAUCCUCCCUGAUGUUGAUUUGUUGACCAUUACCAACUAACCACAUGACCGAGUCUUCAAUAGCCUUUCUCCCUAUAAGUAUGCUCUGCCAUCCCCAAGAUGGUCUGGAUCCCUUUUCUGCCUUCCAGAAGCUCUUAGUUGGGUAAUACAAGCCUUUAAGGACCUAACUAGACAGAGAAGUCUGGUUUUUAGCUAGUAGCCAAGCCUAUUUACCGAGCAUGGCUUUGUUGAAAGCUAUUAGGUCCCUAAAUCCUAGGCCUCCCCUGUCCUUCCUCUGUUUUAGCACUGCGGCCUUCCUCCAAUGUACUCCUUUUGUUGUUGAUUGGUUCUUCCACCAGAAGGCUGUAAUUUUUUGCUCAAUGGCCCGACCAACUGAGAGUGGGAUCUUGAAGAUUGACAUGGCAUAUUGAGUAGUGUUGAAAGAACUGGCCAUUCAUUCCAUCCGGACCCGGGGCCUUGGAGGAUCCAAUUUGGAAGGUUGCUUGUUUAACCUCUUCCAUCGUUACUUCUUCAAGCAGCUUCAGGUUAGUUUCAUUUUUCACCCUACAAGAACAGUGCUGAAGAAUUGGGUCAAAAUGUCGAUGUCCCACUGAGGUAUAUAGUUCUUUAAAGAAAUUUUCAGUCAUCCUCUUUAGUUGUUCUU